rnacentral:rRNA from 1 species
AGAGUUUGAUCAUGGCUCAGAACGAACGCUGGCGGCGUGGAUAAGACAUGCAAGUCGAGCGGGAUUUCUUUUGGUAGCAAUACCGAAGGAAAUUCAGCGGCGAACGGGUGCGUAACACGUGGGCAAUUUGCCUUAAAGUGUGGGAUAGCUCGGCGAAAAGCCGGAUUAAUACCGCAUGUGGCUACUGGAGACAUCUUCGGGACGCUAAAGGUGGCGCAAGCUACCGCUUUUUGAGAAGCCCGCGGCCUAUCAGCUUGUUGGCGAGGUAACGGCUCACCAAGGCGUUGACGGGUAGCUGGUCUGAGAGGACGACCAGCCACACUGGGACUGAGACACGGCCCAGACACCUACGGGUGGCAGCAGUCGAGAAUUUUUGACAAUGGGGGAAACCCUGAUCGAGCGACGCCGCGUGGAGGAUGAAGGUCUUCGGGUUGUAAACUCCUGUCAUUUGAGAACAAGGCGCAUGUAUUAACUGUACGUGCGUUGAUAGUAUCAGAAGAGGAAGGGACGGCUAACUCUGUGCCAGCAGCCGCGGUAAUACAGAGGUCUCAAGCGUUGUUCGGAUUCAUUGGGCGUAAAGGGUGUGUAGGUGGCGCGCUAAGUCGGGUGUGAAAUUUCGGAGCUUAACUCCGAAACUGCAUUCGAUACUGGCGUGCUUGAGGACUGGAGAGGAGACUGGAAUUUACGGUGUAGCAGUGAAAUGCGUAGAUAUCGUAAGGAAGACCAGUGGCGAAGGCGGGUCUCUGGACAGUUCCUGACACUGAGACACGAAGGCCAGGGGAGCAAACGGGAUUAGAUACCCCAGUAGUCC